AUUACCUCAAUCGAGCACUAACUGUGAGCAAACCGCUUCAGAUGUCUGAGAUUUGAAGGGAUCAUUCUCUAGACUGGAUGUUUCAGCUUCUUCGACAGAUGUUAAAGAGGAUUUACAUGAGGGAUUAGAGAAGGCCAUUUCAGAAUAGUUCGGUGUUUUGUUCUUCUGUGUUUUAGUUCAUUGUCCUGGAGGGCCCACGACCUGCGACUGAGACCAAGCUUUCUGACUCCAGAAUGCAGAAUGUUUUGUCCAGCCUCCAUUAUCUGGGCACUUUGGAUUUUAACAAGCUAUUCGCUUUAGCAAAAAAAUUAACAGGCCGAAAAACAACGCUAUAAAAGAGAAAGAAUACCAAAUGGAGCAAAGAUUUUUUGAAUGAUGAUGAUGAACUUGGAGAGCUGUUGCCAAAUCUGCUAUGACCGAACUGGGAGGUAUUCAAUUUCACAGAAAUGUAGUGCAAAGGAGGCACAGCAUUUUAUAUGCUCCUGAAACUUCACAAGUGCAUCGAUAUCAGGCAUCAAAUCCUAAUGAACAGCCAAUUUCAGAAUGUCAUUGAAGUGGCAGGCCAGACCCACCGGCAGGAACAGAGGAACGUUUUCCAAAGAAGGGAAAGUCCUCAUACGAGGAAAAGCUAUAUUUUCUCCUCACAAAAGCAGACCCUGGCAAUUGCUGCUCAAAUAUCUUGCUAAUUUUCACCCCAAGACAAAUUCUUAGAUGGAUUGGCUGGUUGGGAACAGGGUUUGAAUAUUUUCUGAAAGGGAAGUUGAGAGAAUAAGUCACCCCAACAACCGAAGGAUUCUAGCAAAAUAACACAUAAACAAAAGAGGACCUUAAACCUAAUGAAAACUAAAAUUGGUCGUCACUACAAAAGGGGUGAGAUAAAAUGCUGGGACCGAGAUGUCAAGUGAAACAAGUCCUCACUUUCUAUGACCAGACGACUAUUCUGCCGGCCAAAACCUUAAUGGUCAUUUGAACAAUUUGUGACGGCCUUGUCGCUGUCUGGCGACAGUUUCCGCAUGGGUGUGAUGGCUGAAAGAAAAAUGACUUGGAUAUAGGCUCCGCUCGAUCAAUCAAGUGGCCUUGUUUUCUAUUUUAUCUAUAAUGUACUUUUUUAACGUAUUAGGCAAAAAACACAUUUUUAAAGCGAAGGAAGUCUUUACAAAUCCGGGUGUUUGAAGCUGGUGUAUUUGUUGCAAUGAGUGUCAGUUUUGAAAAGAAUAACUGAUGUAGUGUGUCACUAUAAAUAAACUCUGGGGAAAAUAGGCAACAAGUAUGUAAAUACUGUGUCAUUUUGUUUUCGAUAAAUUAAUAUGACAUCAGUCAAGCCCAGAUUAAGAAGAGCAAAGUUUGCAUAUACAAGGCACGCAACUGGAGUCUCACAUUGGCACUAUUAAUCUA